CCCGGAGCUCUUCAAAGGAGGGACACAUGACCCGGAACUUGUUCCAGUGUAACAGUUGACUAGCUGCGGCUCGGCUCUCUCUGCUGCUAUGUCUUCAACAAUGGCUGUUAAAUUAAACGCUUUGGUUAGCGAUUCUUACGUUGAUAUAAGUCAAUACAGAGACCAACAUUUUAAGGGUAACCGCUAUGAUCAGGAGAAUCUGCUGAAGCAGAGCCACACUUUGUAUGUUGGAAAUCUCUCCUUCUACUCCACUGAGGACCAGGUACACGACAUAUUUUCUAAAAGUGGAGAAGUGAAGCGCAUCAUCAUGGGCCUGGACAAAGUCAAGAAAACAGCCUGCGGAUUCUGCUUUGUAGAAUACUACACACGUUUAGGUGCAGAAAAUGCCAUGCGCUUCAUUAAUGGCACACGGCUGGAUGACCGUAUCAUCAGGACAGACUGGGACGCCGGCUUCAAGCAGGGACGGCAGUUCGGCCGCGGCAAAUCUGGAGGACAGGUACCCUCUUCGAGCUAGGCCGUCAGACGGGAGAGAGAGAGAGAGGGAGAGAGAGAGAGAGCAACGAUGGUGGAGCAAGCUAGAGAGUGAACAAAGUGAGAGAUGAGUACAGGCAGGACUACGACCCAGCCAGAGGCGGCUACGGUAAGCUGGCUCAGCAGCAUCACUCCACAGAGGCACGUAAUACGUUUUAGACACCACAGCAGUCUGCCUGGACUUCCUGCACCAGAUGAACUCUCCAGCAAUGCCUCUACAUGCUACCACAGAUUGUUUGUCCCAGCAGGUCUGCACGGACCACUGGAUCUCAGAAAUUAGCAGAUGUUAUUUAUUUAUUUCCUGUUCUGACUGCCUCUCUGACUUUCAUAGCUGUUCUCAGUCUACAUGAUAGCACAGGCCAAACCUCAACAUUGCUAUAUGAUAUACAUAUUUAGUGAUGUUAUCCUGCGCAUUGACAUACCAUCAAUUUCCCCGCAGGCUGGGAAAGGCUCUGAUAGCAUGUGGUGACUGGGUUGAUGAUGUAUCAAAUGUCAAGACAAAGUUAUGUGGCGUUUCCAUGUCGGGUUAAAAUAAUACUCUGCUGAAGUAAUAGAUAGGAAGCAUUCUGUUAUCUUACUGAUUGCCGUGACUGAAAAUUUGUGUCCCAAAUUGGGUUUACUUUUUUAAAUAAAAAUUUUUUUUUUUUUUUCUAAUCUGUGUGAGGUCUGGUAA